rnacentral:rRNA from 1 species
GCCGCGACCCGUUGCUGGGGACGUCGAAGGCCCGGGCGGACUGGUACCCCGACGUUGUCGUCGUUCGCGCCGCCGACGAAGGGGGAAACCUCCGGUGUCCUGGCUGCCCUGCGACGGUCGUGCAGCAGAGGAGCGAUGCAUCUCUCUCUCGCGGCGUGCAAAAGGUCGGUGACCCACCCGACCCGUCUUGAAACACGGACCAAGGAGUCUAACAUGUGUGCGAGUCAUUGGGCGCACUAAACCCAAGAGGCGAAAUGAAAGUGAAAGGAGAGCUCCUCGCUCUCCGGGGCCGAUCCCCGACCGGCUGUUGCCGCCACAGUUUCUCCCAUCCCAAAGCGAGGUUACCCAAAAGGGGGUUAGUCAGGGCGGAGUGAGUACCCUUUCCUCCGUCCGCCUCUGGCCUCGUGGGGUUCUGGGCGCGCACGACGGUCCGGCUCCCUUCGCGGGAGUCGCUCGUACGCGGGAGGGCGCAGGCCCGGGACUUGCCAUUCGACGCCGCGCGCAAAUCUGUUGUUGGCCUCGCCGGCUCUGCUUGGGCUCUCGGUUGGCGCGCCGCGUGUCAGGCGGGCUCUGGCUGGGGGUCUCGUGCUCCCGGUCGGGUUCGUCCCGCGCGGUUUUGCCUUCCG